rnacentral:rRNA from 1 species
CGUGAGUAACCUGCCUUGGAGUGGGGAAUAACAGCUGGAAACAGCUGCUAAUACCGCAUAAUGCAGUUGGGUCGCAUGGCUCUGACUGCCAAAGAUUUAUCGCUCUGAGAUGGACUCGCGUCUGAUUAGCUAGUUGGCGGGGUAACGGCCCACCAAGGCGACGAUCAGUAGCCGGACUGAGAGGUUGGCCGGCCACAUUGGGACUGAGACACGGCCCAGACUCCUACGGAAGGCAGCAG